ACGUAGGGUGCGAGCGUUAGUCGGAAUUACUGGGCGUAAAGCGUGCGCAGGCGGUUUUGUAAGCCAGAUGUGAAAUCCCCGGGCUUAACCUGGGAAUGGCGAUGGAGACUGCGAGGCUAGAGUUUGGCAGAGGGGGGUAGAAUUCCACGUGUAGCAGUGAAGUGCGUAGAGAUGUGGAGGAACACCGAUGGCGAAGGCAGCCCCCUGGGUCAAAACUGACGCUCAUGCACGAAAGCGUGGGGAGCAAACAGGA
rnacentral:rRNA from 1 species